UACGGAGGGUGCAAGCGUUAAUCGGAAUUACUGGGUGUAAAGCGCACGCAGGUGGCUGAGUCAGUCGAUUGUGAAAGCCCUGGGCUUAACCUGGGAAUUGCAGUCGAUACUACUCAGCUAGAGUAUGGGAGAGGGUAGUGGAAUUCCCGGUGUAGCGGUGAAAUGCGUAGAGAUGCGGAGGAACACCGAUGGCGAAGGCAGCCUCCUGGGAUAACACUGACGCUCAUGCACGAAAGCGUGGGGAGCAAACAGG
rnacentral:rRNA from 1 species